UACGUAGGGGGCAAGCGUUGUCCGGAUUUAUUGGGCGUAAAGAGCGUGUAGGCGGCCUGACAGGUCUGCUGUGAAAACUAGAGGCUUAACCUCUAGACGUCGAUGGAAACUGUUUGGCUAGAGUCCGGAAGAGGAGAAUGGAAUUCCUGGUGUAGCGGUGAAAUGCGCAGAUAUCAGGAAGAACACCCGUGGCUAAGGCGGUUCUCUAGUACGGUACUGACGCUGAGACGCGAAAGCGUGGGGAGCGAACAGG
rnacentral:rRNA from 1 species